AACGAACGCUGGCGGCAUGCCUAACGCAUGCAAGUCGAACGAGACCUUCGGGUCUAGUGGCGCACGGGUGCGUAACGCGUGGGAACCUUCCCUUAGGGUCGGAAUAACUCCCCGAAAGGGGUGCUAAUACGGGAUAAGGGCUACGACCCAAAGAUUUAUCGCCUUUGGUUGGGCGCGCGUUGGAUAAGCUAGUUGGUAGGGUAAAAGCCUACCAAGGCGACGAUCCAUAGCUGGUCUGAGAGGAUGAUCAGCCACACUGGGACUGGGACACGGCCCAGACUCCUACGGGAGGCAGCAGUGGGGAAUAUUGGACAAUGGGCGAAAGCCUGAUCCAGCAAUGCCGCGUGAGUGAUGAAGGCCUUAGGGUUGUAAAGCUCUUUUACCCGGGAUGAUAAUGACAGUACCGGGAGAAUAAGCUCCGGCUAACUCCGUG
rnacentral:rRNA from 1 species